rnacentral:tRNA from 1 species
UAGCUCAACUGGUAGAGCAACUGACUUGUAAUCAGUAGGUUGGGGGUUCAAGUCCUCUCGCCGGCA